rnacentral:ncRNA from 1 species
AAAUAAAAUUUUUUAUGGUUUAAAAAUUUAUUAUAAGUUUAUUUUACAUAUAAAUUUUAGUGUUAAAUAUUAAUUAUUUAAAUAAUAAUUAUUUAUUUUGUAGUAAUUAAUAUUAAAUUAUUUAAGAAAUUAAGAUUUAGUAAUAUUUAAAUUAAUAACAAAUUUUGUGCCAGCAGUUGCGGUUAAACAAAAAUUAAAUUAAAUUUUAUUAGUAAUUAAUUAAUAAAUAUUUUUAUAAUAAAAAUUUUAAAUUAUUAGGUGAAAUUUUAAUUUAAUUUAAUUUUAUAUUUUAAAUUUAUGAUUUAAUAAAUUUUAAUAAAAAACUAGGAUUAGAUACCCUAUUAUUAAAAUUUAAAUUUAUAAUACUAAAAUAGUAAUUAAUUAUUUAUUGAAACUUAAAUAAUUUGGCGGUAUUUUAGUUCAUUUAGAGGAAUCUGUUUAAUAAUUGAUAAUCCACGAAUAAAUUUACUUAAUUUAAUAUUUUGUAUAUCGUUGUUAAAAAAAUAUUUUUAAAAAAAAUUAAUAUUUAAAAAUUUUGAAUUAAUUUAAAUCAGAUCAAGAUGCAGAUUAUAAUUAAGAAUAUAAUGGAUUACAAUAAAUUUAUUUAUACCAAUAUUAAUUUGUAACAAUUAAUUGAGGGUGGAUUUAAAUGUAAUUUUAUUUAAUUUAUUAAAAUGAUUAAAAAUUAAAAUAUGUACAUAUUGCCCGUCACUUUCAUAUAAUUAUAAUUUAAUUAUAAUAAAUUGAAAUAAGUCGUAACAAAGUAGAGGUACUGGAAAGUGUUUCUAGAAAGAA